CGCAUACGUCCUACGGGAGAAAGCAGGGGACCUUCAGGCCUUGCGCUAUCAGAUGAGCCUAGGUCGGAUUAGCUAGUUGGUGAGGUAAUGGCUCACCAAGGCGACGAUCCGUAACUGGUCUGAGAGGAUGAUCAGUCACACUGGAACUGAGACACGGUCCAGACUCCUACGGGAGGCAGCAGUGGGGAAUAUUGGACAAUGGGCGAAAGCCUGAUCCAGCCAAGGCGCGUGUGUAAAGAAGGUCUUCGGAUGUAA
rnacentral:rRNA from 1 species